AAUUUCAAUCAGCAGAACCUGAUGUUCAUAGAUUUAAAGAGAAUCCUUUUGGCCAACAACAAUUUAUUGCAAAGUAUAAUUGGUGAGCAGAGGGUGUUUUCUUAUUACCAGUUGUGUUUGCCACAUCGGUGAAGUUAUCACUGGAGGGAGAGCCUGAGCUGGAACUGUUGUUUUUGACCCCAACAAUGCCCGAAGAGUGAUCAGAGUUAGCAAUAGCCAAGUAGUCUGCAGGAAGUAGUUCACCAUUCUGGUUGGCUUCUCUCAUUGCAUGUUUAGGAGUGUAAUCAUUUAGGGUUCCUCUUGUCCUCCAUCUGGAGCCACAAGCAUUGCACAGUACCGGCUUUUCCGGUGGUCCAUUCCUCCACAAUGGGGUCUCUGUUCAACAUUCUAAUCCAUCAGUGUCUUGGAGAAUUCACUUUACAUUAAGGGAGGAGAGAAGUGGGAAGAAAGGAUUCCAUGAGGAGGCAACCUAAGGCCGUUUUCAUGGCCUUUGGGACGAAAGGCGAUGUGUAUCCUAUAGCUGCAAUUGCUGCAGCUUUUGCUUGUGACCAGGUGCAUUACCAUGUGGUUUUUAUAACGCACUCUGCACAUGAGGUUUGUUCAAUACUUGCUGGUGGUAGCAGUACAGGGUCCAACCGUCUUGCCCUCUGAUAUACUCCUGUUUCAGAUAUCUUUCCAUAUUGUAGUUAAUUUUUUACCCCUUUAAUGUACCUUUUUUAAAGUGGUAAAAAUUCAAGUGUAAAACGUAUAUAUCUCACCUUUUGUCAGAGUAGACCGACCUUAAUACUAGGUCUCCUUUCCAUUUUUACCCUUAUACUUAAUGCACAUGAAUUGUUUUAAACCA